rnacentral:rRNA from 1 species
UGGGGAAUCUUCCACAAUGGACGCAAGUCUGAUGGAGCAACGCCGCGUGAGUGAAGAAGGUUUUCGGAUCGUAAAGCUCUGUUGUAAGAGAAAAACGUGUGUGAGAGUGGAAAGUUCACACAGUGACGGUAACUUACCAGAAAGGGACGGCUAACUACGUGCCAG